AGAACGAACGCUGGCGGCAUGCCUUACACAUGCAAGUCGAACGCGAAAGCACUUUCGGGUGUUAGUAGAGUGGCAAACGGGUGAGUAACGCGUGGGAAUCUACCUUAUAGUACGGGAUAGCCUCGGGAAACUGGGAUUAAUACCGCAUACGCCCUUCGGGGGAAAGAUUUAUCGCUAUAAGAUGAGCCCGCGUAAGAUUAGCUAGUUGGUGGGGUAAUAGCCUACCAAGGCAACGAUCUUUAGCUGGUCUGAGAGGACGAUCAGCCACAUUGGGACUGAGACACGGCCCAAACUCCUACGGGAGGCAGCAGUGGGGAAUAUUGGACAAUGGGCGAAAGCCUGAUCCAGCAAUGCCGCGUGAAUGAUGAAGGCCUUAGGGUUGUAAAGUUCGUUUAGUGGGGAAGAUAAUGACGGUACCACAGAAAAGCACGGCUAACUCGUGCAGCAGCCGC
rnacentral:rRNA from 1 species